CUUUGCCCAGAGUGGAUGGAACGUGCCAGAAGUUGGGGAUCAAGGGGUUUGUGAACUCUCCUGCCACUUCAGUAUCCUUGUAUGGAUGAGAGCCACAGCAGAUGGAAGACGCCUUCUGACCAAAGGCCUGGGACAAGAUGACAGACAGGAGAUGACAAACCUUACAAGGUGCACAGAGCCACCAUCUCCUGAACGGGGCUGGAAUUAGAGUGAGGAUAACAGAAGAAAUUGGGCAAUCUUUUGUGAUUGUUGUAAACGAGACUUUGUGACCAUUGCUGGAUGUUUUCAGCACCCAUCUCGAGCAUGGACCAACUGAUCCUCCUUUGGCAAUCAGCACUGCGAACCCUAUUAUGCAGAUGAAGAAACUGAGGCAACGAACAGCACUCCAGGGGCACAGAGAAAGUUGUGAUGAAAUUUAGGUUAGAGGUCAAAGUUGUGCCCCACUGAGGGGAAAAGUGAGGGGGUAUCACAGAAAUUCCUUAGCCUUGGGCUUGCUCUGACAUUCCUUUAGGCUUCCGCUUCUUUCUUCUUCUGGCUGAAGAGGACUCAUUGGGAUCUCAGAGCACAAUGCACAGA
rnacentral:lncRNA from 1 species